rnacentral:lncRNA from 1 species
AGGAAACGUUGAACGAAAAGAAAGUUCGCGUUGCAGCAGUAUGCGGUUUGGGUGGAAUUGGCAAAACAAGUUUAGUUUCCGAGUAUGCCCAUCAGAUGAAGGAUUUCUACAAGGGAGGUGUUUAUUGGUUCUCGGCUGAAGAUGAUACGCAUCUUAGCAAAACAGUGAACGCCGUCGCAGUAAAGAUUGGUGCAUUACUCAAUACAUUUGAAUUAACUUUGCCAAAUAUCCUGAGAAAAAUUAGCACCGUACAUGACCCAUGUUUGAUAGUCCUCGACUGCUUGGAUCAACUGGAUCUUACGUCUAAUAUGCUGGAAUUCCUUUCCUUUCCUUCAAAAGAGAAUUUCUUUGGGCAUUUUAUCGUGCUCACAAGACGAAACCCGAAACGACUUGUUAAUGACAUUUCAGUUUUUGAGGAGAAGUUUUGUCUUCAACUCGAAUGUUUGCAGUCUGAACACGCGAAGCAAUUUCUUUUUUCAAGAACUAAGGUAACACGUGAUGAAAAUGAAAAUGCUGAAAGUGUCGCAGAAUGUCUUUGUGAAAAGCUGGGGAGACUGCCACUUGCUUUGGAACAAGCAGGAGCAUAUAUUCAAAUGCUGGGUUGCAGUUUGUCUUCAUACCUUGAGCAAUAUGAGGCUCAACGCUUGCAACUGUUGAGUCUACAGGCGGCACGUCCUGUCUCACCUGGUAACGAGUCAUCUCAUCGUUUCGCCGUCCACACGACAUGGCGUAUCAAUAUAGAGUAUAUUGAGAAGAGCACGAAUGGUCAGGUUGCUGUUCGAUUUAUGAAUGCUUGUUCUUUUUUCGAUGAAAAUGAGAUCCAGAAAGAAUUGGUCAACGUUGGAACACCCGAAGUGGAAGACGUCGCGUAUCGUAAUUGUGUGUCGUCGCCAUUAGGUUCCCGUCAGGUUCUAAAAUUGCUGACUGACUUUUCACUUUUCACGCAUGUCGAAGCGGGCUGUGUCACUACGCAUCGUUUGGUUCAGGAACUAGUAUGGGAAAAUCUUGAUCCUAAAUCGAAAGCAGUGAGUUUCAUCGAUGCUGUGCGGAUGCUUUCUUUUGCAUUCUCGAAAUGUCCUUCACCCAGUAAUCAUGCUAGUUUAGAUGAAAGGAAUGGCGAAGAACAAGACAUAUCGUUCUCUGGUUUACCAAAUAGUCCUUCUCACUUUUAUAUGUGGUCUAAGUUUUGUAUGCAUGGCCAUCGUCUUCGUAGAAAUGUCGAAGAUUUGUUGGUAAGUCUUGACACUGUUUGUCUAGACUCGGUGUGGUUUCCUGAAACAGCUAGAAUUCUUUACGAAUGUGCGGUUCAUUUGAGUGCAAAUCACCAGCAGGAAAAAGCAAAGCGUACUUUGAACUUUGCUUAUCGUAUAUUAGACUGGCUUCCUUUAGCAGGGUAUGAAACGGUUGAAAAGAAUGUUUCUGAUGAUUUCCUCUUUCCGCUUCCGAUCCCUUUACCGGAACUAUUUCAGAAGAUGAUUCAACGAUUUUGCAUACCAACUUUAAUUUUACUUGAAUCUUUGACUGAAAACCCUG